UACGUAGGGUGUGAGCGUUGUCCGGAAUUAUUGGGCGUAAAGAGCUCGUAGGCGGUUUGUCACGUCGGCUGUGAAAACCCGAGGCUCAACCUCGGGCCUGCAGUCGAUACGGGCAGACUAGAGUGCUGUAGGGGAGACUGGAAUUCCUGGUGUAGCGGUUAAAUGCGCAGAUAUCAGGAGGAACACCGGUGGCGAAGGCGGGUCUCUGGGCCGAUAUUGACGCUGAGGAGCGAAAGCGUGGGGAGCGAACAGG
rnacentral:rRNA from 1 species